GUAUAGUAUUUUUAGUAUAGUAUUUUAUUUUAUAGUAUUUUAAAGUAAAUUCAAAAAGACUUACCAGUUAGCCCGACCUCCUCGCUCACCUUCAGCCAAGCCUUGGUCUUGACCGUCCGGUCCUUAUAACUUGCCAAGGUGGUGUUGAAGAUCACCGGGUAUGAUGAGACUGCAAUAAUAAUCUUCUCCUCCAUUUUAGCGGUUUGAUCAGGAUCAGGUAGUGAUCUCAAGGUCACUCCAAGGGAGUAACACUGAUUGGCUGUUACGGCAUGUCACUCAGUGGCAACCACCGCUGGACUGGGCAUAGGGCAUGGCGGGCAUAUGCCCGGUGGCCUGAAGCCUUUUAUUUAUUUUUUUAUUCAUGCCAAACUCGCGUCUAACGUAGCAGGCCACGUUAACUUCAAUGCAGGCCACAUUAACGUCAAUUCAAGUUAAUGCAAGUUAAACUGGCAGAUCUGCCCUUUAUCAUGAUUGAUUGAAGCCUGGGCCAAUGAGGUGAGGGGCAGGCCAAUUUCGCCUACCCCUCCAUCUCAGUUGGUGACUUGGUUGGUUAGCCACUGCUAGCAGGAAGAUCGAAAACGGGCAAUAUGGACCCUAGUUGGAAGAAAAGAAAGGGUGGCGCUGAAAGAGCCAGGGACCAGAAAAAAGCAGCCCUUCAGGCAGAUGCUACGAAAUGCCUAAACAUAGCUGAUAUGUUUGCUGCUCGUGGACAUGGAGCCUCCACAUCUGCAGCAGCAGCAUCAACAGGUAGUGGAGGAGAAGAUGCUCGACAGCAGGUGGACGAGGCGGCCAUGACGAUGUUGACAGACGCCUCACAGCAGGAGACCGUGGCCAGUGUAGACACUGUGGAGAGUGUCGAUACUGGGGAUCAGCCCUUGCCCUCCUCCACUUCUGACGCUGGGACACAAUGUUUUUUGAAGCCCCCCCGAUGGUCUCACGGUAAAUCUCAUAUGCAGGACAAUUUCAUGUGUUUCCAUUUCAAAAAGGAAUUCUGUCUGUCCAUCUUCCUGUCUAUUUGUACGUUUUCCGUCUGUGUGUCUGUCUGCCUCCCUGCCUACCUGUCUUGGUCUUUUCAGGCUCAUUGGCAGCAGUCAAGUUGGAGAACAUAAUGAUGAGGGCUGCCUUGCUGAAAGAUGUUCGUCAGCUGUCUCCACAGCACCAGACCUUCUCCCUUGAGGCUUACCACUCCCUCAUCUUGCACUUCGCGCCCAAGCACACAGGGUUUUCAUACCUUGGGAUGUAUAGCAGGUCAGUGCUAUCCAAUGGAAUAACACUGCCAAUUAUUAUGCCUUUUAUAGUAAUAAUAGUACCUAUUAACGUGCCUAUUGUAGUAUUUUGUCAUACACCAAGUUUCAAAGGUUUUCUCAAAUGUGUUAUUUUGUAGGCUUCUCUUAGCGGCGCUGCAUUAUAAUCACAAUGCCAAUCGCGAGACAGCACGGAGAAGUGACGGGACAGAGAAGUACUGCGUGCGGUAUCCGCGCUUCAGAAAAGGUGCCCAUGUGGUGCGUCCCAUCAAAGAGGCAGCCUCAUACGGUAAGCAGUGUCAGGCAGUUCUAUCAUAUUUUGAGAUGGCGCACGAGUGAUCAGUGACAAUGAUCUUUAUAAAGUAAUAUUAUUAUUAUGUCUGCAGGUUAUGCAACAUCAUUAAUGAAGGCCCUUCGGGAGAGCUACGCCAAUUCACCCGCGGUUCUUCGAGAGGUUGGCGCCAAUCUGUCCUCCGAUGCACCCGCCCCCAUCGCCAAAUCCUUCGAACAGAUUCCUAAGGAGGAGGCCAUCAGCCUCUACCUAGCCCGGCAGUCACGCUUCAAGAAAACCUAAUUUCACAUUAUUAUUUUUUUCCACGGACAAGUCCAAUGAUUUAGUUGUUAUUUGCAUGAAAUUUCUUUGCAUGUAAUUCAAAAUAAUUUGGUAAUCAUUUUACCUGUGCCUUGUCAACCUCUGUGUGCGGUGUUGUCUGGGCUCACUGUGUGUCUGCUUGAUGUGCUUUUGCAUGUAUCGCUGCAUGUAUCACUGCAUGAAAUAGUGUGUGUGUGUGUGAGAGAAAGAGAACCAUCCACUGACCCUCGGGUAUGACUACACUAUUGCAGAAUUAAUUAGAAUUAGAAUUAAACAUUGCGGGUCUAGCCCUUCAUCAGUGUUCCUUGUAUGUUUUGUGCCUAACCAUUUUUUUAUAUAGAUUUAAUUCCAACCUGUGUCUUUGUUCAGUAACCAUUACAAGCAAUGCCAAUCAACUUUUUUUUAUCCAAAAUGCAUGUGUUCUGUGUACUUUAUAAAAUUUUAAGGGCAAUUGAAUGAUCACAACAGAAUAAGCAUAACUAUUAUUUUUAUUCAUUUUAAUCCAAACAAGGCCAUUGAAAGCCCUGAUAGGUCUGGUCACCAUUCUGGAAUUGCUGUCUGAUGGUUGAAACCACACAAGAGGGUAGAGGCUUCCUUAUACUCCUCCCUAAAACGCCAUAAGCCCAGCGUAUAGCUUGCCUGUACGCAGUGUACCGGUAUUGCCUAGGGAUAAGUAGGAAAGAUUCUUAAGUUUAAAACUGUAAGUAGGUUGGAAACGUCAUUUUAAGCCUGUUUCUUAUGCAUGUUUAUUGUGUAUGCAACACAUCUCCUGUCACCUAUAACUGUUGGUUCAAAUGACUCAGUGUAAAAAGAUUUGUAAAGUAAACAUAAACCAUGAACAUACUUGUGCGUGCUGGCUUGAAGGGGACCAUGAUCCUGCCUGAAGUGUGUAUGCUAUUUUUAGCACAAACGGAUUCAGGCAGCAUGCCUCAAAUCCAGGAUGCUGCGUUAGGCACGUUACAUCUGCUGGCCGCGGGGUGAGCUCCUCGACCAGCGACCAAAACGCGCUCACCUCCCUACAACACAAGCUCUCCACCACAGUUUCCAUGGAACGACACCGCCCACACAGACACCUGCCAAACACAGCGACACAGACACGCUUACUGCUCUCUCCCGGUAAGCGGUACCCUGACAGUUUCAAUGACAAUCAAUCACGAGGAAAACGAGUUAGCACUAUCAAAAAUAAUCACACUGAAGACAUAACCAGCCUACUCGGCGUCGGCUACGUUUGCAAACAACAUUUUCACCGGAGAAAGGUAAAAGCUUAGAAUAAACACUAGGGGUUCACAGGUGGGACUGUCAAGCUAGCCCAUAUUUAGAAUAAAUAGAAGGCAUAAUAUGCCUUCUAUUUCUGGAUCUUCUGACUAAGUUUAGGGUACUUAUCUGAGCC
rnacentral:lncRNA from 1 species